rnacentral:rRNA from 1 species
GGGGAAUUUUGGACAAUGGGCGCAAGCCUGAUCCAGCCAUGCCGCGUGAGUGAAGAAGGCCUUCGGGUUGUAAAGCUCUUUCGGCGGGGAAGAAAUGGCACGCUCUAACAUAGCGUGUUGAUGACGGUACCCGCAUAAGAAGCACCGGCUAACUACGUGCCAGCAGCCGCGGUAAUACGUAGGGUGCGAGCGUUAAUCGGAAUUACUGGGCGUAAAGCGUGCGCAGGCGGUUUCGUAAGACAGAGGUGAAAUCCCCGGGCUCAACCUGGGAAUUGCCUUUGUGACUGCGAGGCUAGAGUGUGACAGAGGGGGGUAGAAUUCCACGUGUAGCAGUGAAAUGCGUAGAGAUGUGGAGGAAUACCGAUGGCGAAGGCAGCCCCCUGGGUUACCACUGACGCUCAUGCACGAAAGCGUGGGGAGCAAAC